rnacentral:lncRNA from 1 species
CAUAAUUUGUACUCAUUACUCAACCUUUGAACCAAGACAAAUAACAACUGAAGAUGACGAAAACUUUGAUAACUCUGAUGUUCGGUGCAGUACUGCUUUCGAUCUUAUAUAGUAAGCAUGGUCUUUUUUUCGUAACUUAGUAUUUUGUUUCCCUUACGUUGUUUUCUCAUGAAUGUCUCAAUCCCAUCGGCAUUUCCAGGUGCAUUAUCGGAAGGUCGUCUAUGCGUAGAUUUAUACAAGGUGCCACACUGCAACACGGUGGCUUGCAAGAAGUAUUGCCUGACGAUAUAUAACACUACAAAACUGUAUACUGCUAUAUGUGUUCCUUUCGAUCAUCCGGUUGAUAACUGUAUGUGUAUUUUGAAUAAUUGUCCUCCGGCCGCAGCAAAAUAAGCUUUAUUUGAAAUUGAUAACGAAAAAUAAUGAAAAUUGAUAGCAAAAUAAGCAGAGAUUUUGAAUUUAAAUUCUUGUCUGUCUCUGCGUUUAUUUGAAAUGGGAAAAUGAAAUUGAGGGUUCUCAA